rnacentral:tRNA from 1 species
AAGGAUUUAAGUUAAAAAAACUUGUAGUCUUCAAAACUACGAAUAAAGACCCGCCUUUAAGCCUUA